UCCAUUAGACCAGUUAUCAUUGGGGACGUAUCUCGUGACUCAGACUCAUUGUGUUUCAUUUUCCCGUUUGAGAUUGUUAUUUUUCUUUUUUGUUAUUUUCCUUUUCUUUUUUUCCGAUAUGUAUAACGAAUGUUAACACCUGUUACAUCUAUCACUAGGACAUGUGUUUGUAUUAUGAUUGGCAGGUUUCCAAAAUGAUUCUUCUAUUACAUCUCGCCACCUG
rnacentral:lncRNA from 1 species